UUCAAUGGAAAUUUUUCAUAGCCUCUGACUGCUAAAAAUAGCAGUGAGGUGAAAGAAGUGGGCACCAACUCUACUGGGUCAUUUCCUUUAUAAAAGGAGUGGGCUGAAACGGCAGGCUGAAUUAUUUAUCAACACGUUUGUUCAUUCAGUCAGUGUAUCAAAAACAUAUUGUAUGUGCAUUUCCUGUCAAUUUAAAACAGCCACCUCAGAUGGAAACAUCACAUUCUUCCUGAUGACAAGAGGUCAUUUCAGUCUAGGGACGGCUAAUAUUUUAGCUGAAAACAAAAAGCUAAAAAUAAAACGCAAGGAAAGCAAAAUCUGCAGGACAGGGCUGCCAAGCUAACAGCACAGCGACAGGAGAACAGCUACUAUCUGGUCUCCAGUGCAAAUAUGGACGAGACUAUAGCUGGAGCUGUCUGCUGCCCAUGAUUCAGACCGUCUAUGGAAUGCAAUGAGUGUAAAGUAAGUGGACAACAAGUCUGGGAAUGGACUUUACUGUGGUCUAGAAGCUUUCAGUUCCCAAAUGCAUGAACACAAUCCUUUUUCAAGUUACUGUUUUUCAGGAUUUCAAAAUUACAAUCGAAAGUUGUUUCAUGCCAUCUAGAAGCUGACUCCUUGAUGCUGAUAAUCAUCAUCUGGUUUAGUCUCCAAACAAGCUUGUCUUCCACCAGCGAGUAGAUGGGAUUUUUUCUUGUCUUGGUGCACUGGUUGUCUGAGAGGCUCUACCCACAAACACAGUGAGCAUAUAUAUACCCCUACGUGACUAUCAAUUCUCCACAGUCUGCGUGCUCUCUUAAUGGACUUUGCAUGUUCUUCUGAACAGGAAAUGCUUUGUCAGAAACUUGCCUGUGGGCAUUGUGCUGCACCAAUUAAAGAUUCCUGAACUCAAGAACAAAGGGAUGCCAGUGGAACUGUGCUUUUAAUCACUCAGUUCAUUUUUUUCCUUCCUCCACAGCUGAUUUUGGAUGUAUGGCGUGUUUUUUGUUUGUUGUUUUAUUUUGGUUUGGUUUUUUUGGAUAGCUACUCAGGAAUGCUGCUAGGGAAACAUCUUCCUUUUUACAUAUGCAGAGAGGAUGCUAGGUUAUUUGAAUUCAAUCAAAAUAUUUACUAUUUUUAAUUGUAAUAUUGCCUUGAGCGACAAAAAUGUUUAGAAUUGGAGUUCCUGGGAUUCGUACACAAGUGAAAAAAUGCUUGGGCUUUUGUGGUCUUGUUUUGUUUCAAGAGAGACCUGUGAAAAAUCAGGUGUGAGCCAACCAUGACAAUAAUAAUACCUGGCACUUAGCCAAGUAUAUGGCACCUUUUCCCCAAGGAUUCUUGUGCAUUUUACUAACAUGCAUCAACUUGGCCUCACAACACCUCCUGUGAGGUAGGAUAACUGUUAGGAUACAUUUUUACAUAAGAGUACACCAAAGCCCAAAGUCGUUAGGUGACUUGACUUUUUCAUGUCCUUGGCAGAGUUGAGAAUAGAAUGCAGGAGUCCUGCCUCCCAUUGUUAUGUUCUUUCCACCUCUUUAUAAUAGAUAUUAAGCCCUUGAAGGCAAGGACCAUCUUUCUGCUCUGAAUCUGUACAGCAACUAGCACCAUGAAACUCAGGUCUGUGGCUGAGGCUCUUAGGCACUAUCGCAAUAAAAAUAAGUAAUAAUAACAAUAAUUAAUAAAAUGUAUGGGGUGCACUGGAACCAAAACAUAGAAUAGUGACCUCAACUGAGACCAAGUGGAUAAUGCUGAGUAAUAAGAGCUAUUGGACCAGCAUCAGAUUGGCUAAUGCAAAGAUUUGCUUUAAUCCAGGUGAAAAAUGCUUGGAGAAUGUACAGGCUCUACUCGGAGUCUACUGAAUCUAUGACCACACCUUCUAUGAAAAGUAGUUCUAAUUAUAAACAGAAAGAGGCUUUUUGAUGCAAAUGUUUUCUCUACUCAAACCACAGUCCUACAAAAUACAAAUUCACUAUCUUCUAUAAUGCGAGAAAAUAGAAAGAGAAAAAGCCAAUUUUUCUCCCUCAACUAUAGGCUCCUUUGUGAUUUUGUCCAACACUCAUAGGUGGAAAAAGAGAGAGCUAAAACCAAACUGUAACGUAAGCAUAGGAGACCAUGUUCUGUGUAGCCUGAAGUUGAAAGAAACAGCGUGAACUCAGAGAGAUAGCUUCACUGAAUCCAGUCAAAGAGCUAGAUCCUUGGCCCCGGGUAGUUUUCUGUGCUACUCCAGUAGCAUGAAGGGGACUUUAAGCUGCCUUAAUCAUGCAGCUAAGGUUCCCCUUGUGCGGGGGAAUCCCCAGCUGACAUAAAUCUGACAUCGUUGGCUUUAGGCCACCUGCUCCUUUACCCGCAGCAGAGGGGGCUGGAGAGGGCAGAGUUGAAGCUCAGUGAGCUGUGAUAAUCCUGGCCCACAAGAAAGGUCCAAUGAAGACUGCUCCAGCUGGAAUAAAUUAGAGCAGCCCUGUGCCCUGCAACUAACUGCAGGUCCUUCCUCUUCUUUCCUCCCAUAUAGAUAUAAUCCUCUCCUUCCCUAAAUACACAGAUGGCCUGCUUCUUGCCCUGAAACAUAGCCAGGGCCUUGCACAGGAGCACAGCGGGCCUAAGCCUGCAUUGGAGAAGUGAAAGAAGCCUCCCCAUUUGCCCCGCCAUCAGUGAGUCCCGAUGCUCUGAAUGUACAAAAUGUCUGGGGUCAGAUGCAGCCACAGUAUGGGCUGGCACCAUGGUUGCAGUCCCAUCCAAUGGGUGGCACAGCAGCUGCACUACUCAGGUGCUCCAGGAAGCACUGUGUUUCCUUGAGAUACGCUCCCUCCCACAGCAUAUCCCUAGGCAGGGCUGCUUUGCAUUGGGCACCCAGUGGAAGUCUGUGGCUAAUGAUACAACCUGGUUCAUUAUUAGUAAGACAGAAAACAAGAGAUGCACACUUCAACUCCUGGACUAGUCCUGGGGACCCUGUAAGGCCUGGUAACUUUCUCAGAGUAGCCGGAAGCAUGCAAUAGAAUAAUUUCCUAAGCACCUGGUGACACUUUUGUGUCAUGCUGUACAAAGAUAAGUAGAAUCAUCCUGAAGUGUCAAUAAUCAGAAUAAAAAUCUCAUUUGGGCGACAAUUACUGUGGUGUGUGGCAGAACCCACAGAGUAAUAUCCUGGUCUUAGUGAAGGUGAGUGAAAGUCCUAGGUCAUUUAUAUGUAUCACAAGGUGCAGGUUGCAAUUUCAGUUCUACUGAAACAUCUGUUUCAAGUGCAGUUUUUCUGUGAAAUAACUUUGCUAUAAAAGGGCUCCACGGAACUGCAAGUCUGAUGAACUGCGGACAGUUUUGCCUACCGUCUUCCUUCCCACUGCUCUUCUAAUUACUGACACACUGAAAAUAAUUUAGAUAUAUUGCAGCAGAGAGGCUAUUUUGGGGUUUUGAGAUGUGGUUAGAUAGUUGCGAUCUGAAUGACAAACGUAUUUCUUUGUGAAGUAAAAAAACAUGUAACUUAUGUAUUCUCAGGCUGGAAAAUCAAUACCACUUUGGAGAGCAGCUACGUAUUUAUUUACUUAUUUAGGGCCAGAUUCUACCACCUUUAUUUACUCCCACUGAGUCUGUCUAAGGUAGUUUUGUGGCCACUAUUUCUGUAGUAACUGAGUGCUUCACAAUCAUUAACGUAUUGAUGUCAGUACUCCCUCACCAGGGUAUUGUGAUUUUUCCAUUUUACAGAUGGGGAAUUGAAGCACAUAGAGG